rnacentral:misc_RNA from 1 species
UGAUGAUGACCCAUGAUGAUGACAAUUAUAAUGAUGAUAUUGGUGGAAAAUAUCUAUAUCUGGCGUCGAAACUGGUCACUUUUUAUCAUCCUGGUCGUCUUUAUCAAUAUUUUAUGUUUCCUCCACAUCGACAUCAAAAACAGAUUAUAUAUUAAAUUCUGUUUAAAACAGGAUUUCCAGGCUACAACCACACAGCGCUUUCUAUAUCAUUAUGGUAAUUUUAUACCAUCAAUUGGUCACGUUGUACAAAUGAAACGAAAGUUUCCUCCCGCUGAUGUUGAGAACUGAACGCUGUGAAGAUUCACAGCCGUUCGCCGUAAAAAAAGACAACAUGGACUCUCUUCCAUGAGAUUUAGAUAGCCUUUCUCGAGGCUCUGUUGAUAUUCUUCUAGCGUUUGUUUGGUUUCUUAUUGAAGUCUACCUCAUCGAACCUUGCAGAACAACAAUGUUGGGCAAGACUCAGAGCUCAGCACGGAAGUUCAUUCU